GUAGCAAAUAUUCAAGUGAGUACCUUGAUGGCCGAGGUGGAGAAGGGUUCCAUGGGAACAGCAGUUAACCAUGGGUCUGGCGAUCCUAAGUGAUCCGGUAAAUCGGAACAGAGACAGGGGUGCCUGACAUUGUCCGUUCGAGGGCUUUGUUCAAUAAUCUGCAAAGUACUGUUGCAUUGCAGCCCCCUGUAGCAAAAGGUAAUCGGGUUAAUAUUCCCGACCCUGUCCACGGAGAUUGAUGCGUGUCGGGCCUUUGGUUCGGCGUGCGCCCAGCGCGGUAAUGCAGUCGACCUCGGAGACGUGGGAGUUCUGGGAAGAGUUCUCUUUUGUUUGUUAGGAGUUCAUCCACCCCCUGGUAAUCGGCUUGUCCGGAGAUAGGGAGCUACCCUCCGUGAAGCACCACCAUUUUUGUGGUGUCCGGAACGCUUUUGUCAGCUCUUGAAAAUCUGAGCGAAGCAGUAUAAGUUUCGUGGCAGGCCGUACCCAUAUUCGCAUCAGGUCUCCAAGGUGAACAGCAUUUGGCA
rnacentral:ncRNA from 1 species